CUUAACACAGGCUGGUAGUUAUUUGUUUUUAUACAUUUUAGCUCACAUUUGCCUUAAUCUCAAUUCCACUUUUGCAAAAAAAGCCCAUUUUUAUACAAGUCUUAGGCUUUAGAGCGGCAUGUUCAAUUCAACUGCGUCUCCCAGAGAACGUGUUUCUCUGCUCCUUCGUCUGCUGUUUGUUGUGAACCUGUGAGGUGAUGGUGAUGAUGUGAGAGGAGCAGUCAGUUUUGGGAGGAUCCUGCUGUUUCUGCUGUGUCUCUGACAGCGGAGGAUGAGGAGGCUGACAUUUACACAGGCAGGGUGAGACGGAGGGGAGAGAAGUGAAGGGAUUUCAAAACUGUUUUCUUGUUCACCUGUUUGUUUUGGAAAGUGUGGGUGAGAAAAGAGAGACAGAUAGAGACAGACAGAGAGAAGAACCUGCAAACAGAGCCUCAGGUCUAUUAAUUGUUUGCAUCUUGCUGGUCUGAUUUAUAGUAUAGAGACAUAAUAUUAGUAAACCCAGAACUGCAGUAACUAAUGUAUGUGCAUCACCAUCAAUAAGAACACAGGUCAGUGAUGUGGUGACCAGGUUCUAGUGAUUAAAAUGUGGGACAACGAUCAAGUGGUUCCACAUUUUGAAUGAACUAGAGCAGAAGUAUUAGCCUUGUCUCCCAUAGAGGGCGCCAGAGCACUUCAGGGGAAAUGGAAACGAAGAAAAACAGUAGUCCUUGUAGCAGAACAACGUCAGAACUAAUUAACCCCGUGAGAAAGAAUGGAUUUGAAAGAAUGACUUCGCUACUGCGCGAAAACACAGUGAUUAUUUAAAGUUUGUAUUUUCGUGCGUUUUAUAUAUUUUAAUUUUAUAGAAUCGGGAAAUGGAAGUGAAUAUUCGUUACACAUGAGAUUGGUCAUUUUUAGCAAUAGCGUAGUUGCUGAUGCUAAUGCGCAGACGGCGGGCCUACAUCGACGAUAUCUACAGUAACAACUUUGAAAAUACUGUUAAAACCAAAAGCUGGCAAAAUGUCAUUUUGGUGUCUCCCUCAGUGAGAUUCCUGCACCAGGACUUUCCAAAAUAGCUGCUGCCUAUUAACACCAACUUUGGCUGCUGCCACUCACCUGCUGCUGCUUAGCAUUGCAAAUGCUACGAGAAGAUAUGAGGCUACUCCAAGAAAAAGGACGGCGAAAGAGACCACCCAUAGGUAAGGUCUUAAACCUGGGUAAAGGGAAAUGGUUCUAUUGCCUGGACUGUUG